rnacentral:rRNA from 1 species
AUUGAACGCUGGCGGCAGGCCUAACACAUGCAAGUCGAACGAGUGGCGGACGGGUGAGUAAUGUAUGUGAAACUGCCUGAUGGAGGGGGAUAACUAAUGGAAACGGUAGCUAAUACCGCAUACCAGAAGGUGUGCCCAAAUGGGAUUAGCUAGUUGGUGGGGUAACGGCUCACCAGGGCGACGAUCCCUAGCUGGUCUGAGAGGAUGAACAUCCACACUGGAACUGAGACACGGUCCAGACUCCGACGGGAGGCAGCAGUGGGGAAGAUUGGACAAGGGGCGCAAGCCUGAUGCAGCCAUGCCGCGUGUAUGAAGAAGGCCUUCGGGUUGUAAAGUACUUUCAGCGGGGAGGCGUUACCCGCAGAAGAAGCACCGGCUAACUCCGUGCCAGCAGCCGCGGUAAUAC